AGAUUUACCAGCAGCUGAGAUAACAUUGUAAAGAAGAUAGUUUUCCCAGAGCAAGCUUCAUCCAUCACACCGCUGCAAUUUCUGCAAAUUUGGAAAACUGGAUUGCAUGAUUUAUGGUAGUGGGUGAUUAUGUUCAUAUGAACUCUCC
ensembl:snRNA predicted gene, 23078